AACUAAAACCUGUGUCCAAACUCUAGAAGGUCACACACACAAUGUUUCUGCUGUAUGUUUCCAUCCCGAGCUUCCAAUAAUAAUGACAGGUUCAGAAGAUGGUACUGUCCGUAUAUGGCAUUCAACCACUUACAGACUUGAGAACACCUUGAACUAUGGACUUGAAAGGGUUUGGGCUGUUGGAUACAUGAAAGGUUCACGUCGGAUUGUUAUUGGCUAUGAUGAAGGAACCAUAAUGGUGAAAAUUGGACGUGAAGAGCCUGUAGCCAGCAUGGACAAUAGUGGAAAAAUUAUAUGGG